UACGUAGGGUGCAAGCGUUAAUCGGAAUUACUGGGCGUAAAGCGUGCUCAGGCGGUUCGGAAAGAGAGGUGUGAAAUCCCAGGGCUUAACCUUGGAACUGCACUUCUAACUACCGGGCUAGAGUACGUCAGAGGGGGGUAGAAUUCCACGUGUAGCAGUGAAAUGCGUAGAGAUGUGGAGGAAUACCGAUGGCGAAGGCAGCCCCCUGGGAUGAUACUGACGCUCAUGCACGAAAGCGUGGGGAGCAAACAGG
rnacentral:rRNA from 1 species